UAAUGUAUGGGGAUCUGCCCGAUAGAGGGGGAUAACUACUGGAAACGGUGGCUAAUACCGCAUAAUGUCUACGGACCAAAGCAGGGGCUCUUCGGACCUUGCACUAUCGGAUGAACCCAUAUGGGAUUAGCUAGUAGGUGGGGUAAAGGCUCACCUAGGCGACGAUCUCUAGCUGGUCUGAGAGGAUGAUCAGCCACACUGGAACUGAGACACGGCCCAG
rnacentral:rRNA from 1 species